rnacentral:misc_RNA from 1 species
AAGUCGUAACAAGGUUUCCGUAGGUGAACCUGCGGAAGGAUCAUUAUAAAAUUUUCAUAUAUUAAAAUUCAUUUAAUAUAUAAAAUUAUAUACAAAAUGUAUUCAAAACCCACACUCUUUAUAACCAUAAAAAAAUUUAUAUUAUUAUUUAUAAUAUAAAAAAAAAAAACAACUUUCAACAACGGAUCUCUUGGCUCUC